CCUUCUGUUCUCCCAAUCAGCUCUAGUUACAGGCUUGUCUAUUCUUCUCAGUAAGGAGUCCCCAGUCACGUAGACCUGCCUUUUCCUGGUGAUGGUGCGAUUUUCC